rnacentral:rRNA from 1 species
UACGUAGGGUGCAAGCGUUGUCCGGAAUCAUUGGGCGUAAAGAGCGCGUAGGCGGCUCGGUAAGUCGGAUGUGAAACCUCCAGGCUCAACCUGGAGACGCCAUCUGAUACUGCCGUGGCUUGAGUCCGGUAGAGGAGCAGGGAAUUCCUGGUGUAGCGGUGAAAUGCGCAGAUAUCAGGAGGAACACCAGCGGCGAAAGCGCUGCUCUGGGCCGGUACUGACGCUGAGGAGCGAAAGCGUGGGGAGCGAACAGG